rnacentral:rRNA from 1 species
UCCAGACUCCUACGGGAGGCAGCAGUGGGGGAUAUUGCACAAUGGGGGGAACCCUGAUGCAGCGACGCCGCGUGGGUGAAGGAGCGUUUCGGCGCGUAAAGCCCUAUCGGCAGGGAAGAAGGAGGACGGUACCUGACUAAGAAGCCCCGGCUAACUACGUGCCAGCAGCCGCGGUAAUACGUAGGGGGCAAGCGUUAUCCGGAUUUACUGGGUGUAAAGGGAGCGCAGGCGGCACGGCAAGCCUGAUGUGAAAGCCCGCGGCCCAACCGCGGGACUGCAUUGGGAACUACCGGGCUGGAGUGCCGGAGAGGUAGGCGGAAUUCCUAGUGUAGCGGUGAAAUGCGUAGAUAUCAGGAGGAACACCGGUGGCGAAGGCGGCCUGCUGGACUGCGACUGACGUUGAGGCCCGAAAGCGUGGGGAGCAAACAGGAUUAGAUACCCCAGUA